CCCUUAGAUGUUCUGGGCUGCACGCGCGCUACACUGACGCACGCAACAGGUGCCUGCUCCGAGAGGACUGGGUAAUCAUUUGAGUGUGCGUCGUGAUGGGGAUAGAAUAUUGUAAUUAUUACUCUUCAACGAGGAAUUCCUAGUAAGCGCCAGUCUGCAGCUUGCGCUGAUUACGUCCCUGCCCUUUGUACACACCGCCCGUCGCUCCUACCGAUGGGUGAUCCGGUGAAUGAUUCGGACUUCAGCGGCUCCCCUGGGGUGCGCCGGAGAAAGUUUUGUGAACCUUAUCACUUGGAGGAAGGAGAAGUCGUAACA
rnacentral:rRNA from 1 species